AUUGAACGCUGGCGGCAUGCCUUACACAUGCAAGUCGAACGGCAGCACGGGAGCAAUCCUGGUGGCGAGUGGCGAACGGGUGAGUAAUAUAUCGGAACGUGCCCAGUAGUGGGGGAUAACUGCUCGAAAGAGCAGCUAAUACCGCAUACGACCUGAGGGUGAAAGGGGGGGAUCGCAAGACCUCUCGCUCUUGGAGCGGCCGAUAUCAGAUUAGCUAGUUGGUGGGGUAAAGGCCUACCAAGGCAACGAUCUGUAGUUGGUCUGAGAGGACGACCAGCCACACUGGGACUGAGACACGGCCCAGACUCCUACGGGAGGCAGCAGUGGGGAAUUUUGGACAAUGGGCGCAAGCCUGAUCCAGCAAUGCCGCGUGCAGGAAGAAGGCCUUCGGGUUGUAAACUGCUUUUGUCAGGGAAGAAAUCCUCUAGGUUAAUACCCUUGGGGGGAUGACGGUACCUGAGAAUAAGCUCCGGCUAACUCCGUGCCAGCCGCCGCCGUAAUAC
rnacentral:rRNA from 1 species